AGAAUCUUGCGCAAUGGGCGAAAGCCUGACGCAGCAAUUCCGCGUGGGGGACGAAGGCCCUCGGGUCGUAAACCCCUUUUGCGAGGGAAGAAGUUCUGACGGUACCUCGCGAAUAAGCACCGGCUAACUACGUGCCAGCAGCCGCGGUAAUACGUAGGGUGCGAGCGUUGUCCGGAUUUAUUGGGCGUAAAGAGCCCGCAGGCGGCCUGGCAAGUUUCAGGUGAAAUCUCCCGGCUCAACUGGGAGGGGUCCUGGAAAACUGUCAGGCUUGAGGCAGGGAGAGGGAUGUGGAAUUCCCGGUGUAGUGGUGAAAUGCGUAGAUAUCGGGAGGAACACCAGUGGCGAAGGCGGCAUCCUGGCCCUGUCCUGACGCUCAGGGGCGAAAGCGUGGGGAGC
rnacentral:rRNA from 1 species